rnacentral:misc_RNA from 1 species
GAACGCACCUUGCGCCCUCUGGCUAUUCCGGAGGGCAUGCCUGUUUGAGUAUCAUGAACACCUCAACUCUCACGGCUUGCCGUGAUGAGCUUGGACUUUGGGGGUCUUGCUGGCCUACGGUCAGCUCCUCUCAAAUCGAUCAGCUUGCCAGUGUUUGGUGGCAUCACGGGUGUGAUAACUAUCUACGCUUGUGGUGUUUCCACCAGGUGUCCUCCAGCAAUGGGGGCCUCUGGAGCUCAUAAACGUCUCUCCGGAGACAGCUUUUUGAACGUUUGAUCUCAAAUCAGGUAGGACUACCCGCGGAACUUA